rnacentral:lncRNA from 10 species
AUUAAGUCUCUCUGUUCCAGACGUCCACUAUCUUAUUAAACCUUCCCUGUUUUACUGAGAAGGAAACCACCAUGCUGAGAAGUUUGCAAUAGGGAGCUGGUAGCAACUUUGAAGCAGGAAACUGUGGGAACAAUGCAGAUGCUGCUUGACUUACGAUGAGGUUAUGUCCAGAUAAGCCCAUCCAUCUUUGAAAAUACCCUAAGUGAAAAGUGCAUUCAAUAUGCCUAACCCACCAAACAUCAUAGCUUAGCCUGGCCUACCUUAAACAUGCUCG